GACGAACGCUGGCGGCGUGCUUAACACAUGCAAGUCGAACGGUAAGGCUCCAGCUUGCUGGGGUACACGAGUGGCGAACGGGUGAGUAACACGUGGGUGACCUGCCCUGCACUUCGGGAUAAGCCCGGGAAACUGGGUCUACUACCGGAUAGGCCCGCACCGCGAGGGUGCGGUGGAAAGUUUUUUUGGUGGGGGAUGGGCCCGCGGCCUAUCAGCUUGUUGGGGGGGUAAUGGCCUACCAAGGCGGCGACGGGUGGCCGGCCUGAGAGGGGGGACGGCCACAUUGGGACUGAGACACGGCCCAGACUCCUACGGGAGGCAGCAGUGGGGAAUAUUGCACAAUGGGCGGAAGCCUGAUGCAGCGACGCCGCGUGAGGGAUGACGGCCUUCGGGUUGUAAACUCCUUUCAGCAUUGACGAAGCGUUUCUGACGGUAGAUGGAGAAGAAGCACCGGCUAACUACGUG
rnacentral:rRNA from 1 species